GGGCGCCGCAAGUACAACGGGGCUAAGCUUAAUACCGAAUUUUUGGAUUCAUAAUUUAAUAAUUUUGAAUGGUAGACAAAUGUUGUAUAAGGAUUGAAGUUUUAGCGUGAGCAGAGAUGGACUUUAUACAAGUAAGAAUUCCGGCGUGAGUAACGAAUGAAAGUGAGAAUCUUUUUAGCCGAUUGAUCAAGGUUUCCGGGGCUAGGGUCGUCCUCCUCGGGUUAGUCGAUCCUAAGGCGAGGCCGAAAGGCGUAGUUGAUGGACAACAGGUUAAUAUUCCUGUACUCCCUUCAGUAUUCGAUGGGUAGACAAAAUAGGUUAAGGUAAGAGGAUUAUUGGAUUUCCUUUCAAGAAUCCGAGCAAGUCAGUGUUGAAAAUCACGCUGACAACAUUGUGAGGUUCGAGUACAAUCCUCGCUGGCGACAGCGGGGAAAGUUAUUCUUAAUCAUGUUUUCAAGAAAAUACUCUAAGAUUAUCUACUUUUGGGAAUCGUACCGAUAACGAACACACGUGAUCAAGGAGAAUAUCCUAWGGCUAGCGGCUAACUACAGUUAAGGAACUCUGCAAAUUAACUCUGUAACUUCG
rnacentral:rRNA from 1 species